UAACCAGACUCCUACGGGAGGCAGCAGUGAGGAAUAUUGGUCAAUGGCCGAGAGGCUGAACCAGCCAAGUCGCGUGAGGGAAGACGGCCCUACGGGUUGUAAACCUCUUUUGUCGGGGAGCAAGGCCCGCCACGUGUGGCGGGAAGGAGAGUACCCGAAGAAAAAGCAUCGGCUAACUCCGUGCCAGCAGCCGCGGUAAUACGGAGGAUGCGAGCGUUAUCCGGAUUUAUUGGGUUUAAAGGGUGCGUAGGCGGAAGGUUAAGUCAGCGGUCAAAUGUCGGUGCUCAACACCGGCCUGCCGUUGAAACUGGUCUUCUUGAGUGAGCGAGAAGGAUGCGGAAUGCGUGGUGUAGCGGUGAAAUGCAUAGAUAUCGCGCAGAACUCCGAUUGCGAAGGCAGCAUGCCGGCUCCACACUGACGCUGAGGCACGAAAGCGUGGGUAUCGAACAGGAUUAGAUACCCCGGUAAUG
rnacentral:rRNA from 1 species